rnacentral:rRNA from 1 species
GACGAACGCUGGCGGCGUGCUUAACACAUGCAAGUCGAACGGGCUUCUGGGGUUCUGGCUUUUUUGGUUGGGGUUCUGGGGGUUAGUGGCGAACGGGUGAGUAACACGUGAGUAACCUGCCCUUCACUUCUGGAUAACCGCUUGAAAGGGUGGCUCAUACGGGAUGUUUCUGGGUCUGUCGCAUGGCGGGUUCGGGAAAGAUGGCACUGUUUGGUGUUUUUGGUGGGGGAUGGGCUCGCGGCCUAUCAGCUUGUUGGUGGGGUGAUGGCCUGCCAAGGCUUUGACGGGUAGCCGGCCUGAGAGGGUGGGCGGUCACGCGGGGACUGAGAUACGGCCCAGACUCCUGCGGGGGGCAGGAGUGGAGAAUAAUGCACAAGGGGCGGAAGUCUGAUACAGCGACGUCGCGUGAGGGAUGGAGGCCGUCGGGGUGAGAACCUCUUUCGGCAGUGAGGAAGGCCUUGCCCGUGACGUGGGGUUGAUGGUGGCUGGGUUAAUAGAAGCACCGGCUAACUACGUG